UACGUAGGGGGCAAGCGUUGUCCGGAUUUAUUGGGCGUAAAGAGCGUGUAGGCGGCUUGGUAGGUCCGCUGUGAAAACUCGAGGCUCAACCUCGAGAUGUCGGCGGAAACCACUUGGCUAGAGUCCGGAAGAGGAGAGUGGAAGUGCCCGGUGGGAGCGGUGAAAUGCGUAGAGAUCGGGCGGAACACCAGCGGCGAAGGCGGCAUCCUGG
rnacentral:rRNA from 1 species